AUUGAACGCUGGCGGCAGGCCUAACACAUGCAAGUCGAGCGGAUGAAGGGAGCUUGCUCCUGGAUUCAGCGGCGGACGGGUGAGUAAUGCCUAGGAAUCUGCCUGGUAGUGGGGGAUAACGUCCGGAAACGGGCGCUAAUACCGCAUACGUCCUGAGGGAGAAAGUGGGGGAUCUUCGGACCUCACGCUAUCAGAUGAGCCUAGGUCGGAUUAGCUAGUUGGUGGGGUAAAGGCCUACCAAGGCGACGAUCCGUAACUGGUCUGAGAGGAUGAUCAGUCACACUGGAACUGAGACACGGUCCAGACUCCUACGGGAGGCAGCAGUGGGGAAUAUUGGACAAUGGGCGAAAGCCUGAUCCAGUCAUGCCGCGUGUGUGAAGAAGGUCUUCGGAUUGUAAAGCACUUUAAGUUGGAAGGAAGGGCAGUAAGUUAAUACCUUGCUGUUUUGACGUUACCAACAGAAUAAGCACCGGCUAACUUCGUG
rnacentral:rRNA from 1 species